UACAGGGGGGGGCAAGCGUUGUUCGGAAUUACUGGGCGUAAAGGGCCAGUAGGCGGCCAACUAAGUCACACGUGAAAUCCCCGGGCUUAACCCGGGAACUGCGUGUGAUACUGGAUGGCUUGAAUUCGGGAGAGGGAUGCAGAAUUCCAGGUGUAGCGGUGAAAUGCGUAGAUAUCUGGAGGAAUACCGGUGGCGAAGGCGGCAUCCUGGACCGACAUUGACGCUGAACGGCGAAAGCUAGGGGAGCAAACGGG
rnacentral:rRNA from 1 species